rnacentral:rRNA from 1 species
UGGGGAAUAUUGCACAAUGGGCGCAAGCCUGAUGCAGCAACGCCGCGUGAACGAUGAAGGUCUUCGGAUCGUAAAGUUCUGUUGCAGGGGAAGAUAAUGACGGUACCCUGUGAGGAAGCCCCGGCUAACUACGUGCCAGCAGCCGCGGUAAUACGUAGGGGGCUAGCGUUAUCCGGAUUUACUGGGCGUAAAGCGCGCGCAGGUGGUUUAGAAAGUCUGAUGUGAAAGCCCACGGCUCAACCGUGGAGGGUCAUUGGAAACUAAUAAACUUGAGUGCAGGAGAGAAAAGUGGAAUUCCUAGUGUAGCGGUGAAAUGCGUAGAGAUUAGGAGGAACACCGGUGGCGAAAGCGGCUUUUUGGCCUGCAACUGACACUGAGGCGCGAAAGCGUGGGGAGCAAACAGG